rnacentral:misc_RNA from 1 species
GAUGAAGAACGCAGUGAAAUGCGAUAAGUAAUGUGAAUUGCAGAAUUCAGUGAAUCAUCGAAUCUUUGAACGCACAUUGCGCCCGCUAGUAUUCUGGCGGGCAUGCCUGUCCGAGCGUCAUUUCAACCCUCAAGCCCCCGGGCUUGGUGUUGGGGAUCGGCGAGCCUCCGCGCCCGCCGUCCCCUAAAUCUAGUGGCGGUCUCGCUGUAGCUUCCUCUGCGUAGUAGCACACCUCGCACUGGGAAACAGCGCGGCCACGCCGUUAAACCCCCAACUUCUGAACGUUUGACCUCGGAUCAGGUAGGAAUACACGCUGAACUUAAGCAUAUCAAUAAGCGGAGGA